CGUUAUCUCAAGAUAGCUGUGUAAAGAUAAUAAUUGUAGCUCAAACUGUCAGUAACAGAAUGAGUACUCAUGGCAGUGUUUUGGUCUAAGCAUUUUUCAGGAGCAAUAUUCUACACCUCAUAUUAAUUUAAGAAGCAUAAAAUAGUGUUUUUAUACUGUAGAUUAUAACUCUUUAGUGGUGAUUAAAUCAAUUUAGUGUGUCAUAAGCUGUCAUGAUCAGUAUCUUUAAAAAACAAUAUAAAACAUCGGAAUAUAUUGCUUAGUGUAAAUAAUAUGUAUUGUUUUGUGAAACUUGUUUCAGGUGUGUAUGUGUGUGUGUGUGCGUGCACACACACAUCAGAUCACAGUAUAAAAAGAAUGUCUUCCUAUUGGUUGUGGUUGGAAAGGUUUGAAAACAUUGAAAUCAGAAUAUACAGGACUUAAGGCAAGCACCAGCUGUAAAGGAAAGAAAGAAAAUAUAUUUGCAGUCAAUGGUAGUUCAUUCAUUCCACAGCUAUUUCUUCAAUGUAUUGAACACCAAAUGUAUGCAUAACAACAGCCUAAAAUUAGGAGGAGACACAAGUGCAACUUUUAAGGUGAGCCCUUCUCUCUGGGGAGAGUUUACAAUCUUGUUGGAAAGAGAAGUUGCAGAGAGGAAUCAGUUCAAUAACAGUCCAAGGCAGUAUGAGAUUAAGUUCUAAACUAUACCAAUAAUAGUCAUCAAUUUCAGAAAACUGAUGUGGGCAAUAGCAGUUGAGGAGCGUUCAGAAGAAAGGAGCUGAAUUUGAGCUGAACUUGAAAUGGGAGGAUGAAGGUGGGAGAGAAAGGCUUUCCAGCAGGAAGAAGUGCGGAAAGCUAAAGAUGUUUGAGGUACAACUAAUUUGGAGUAAUAAGAGGUGGGGUUGGGUGAAUAAGGGGAGGCAUAGUAUUAGGAGAGUUUCUGGUUAGUCAUGGGAGUUUACCGGAAAUUGUGCAAUCACUGGAAUUUCUGAACAAUGAAAUGAAUGACAGGUUGAAAUCAGAGUGUUAGUCCAUAGACAUUAUAUGUGAUAGGGUGAAGAGAGAAGAAAGGUCAGAUAGGAAAUUAUUGCUAGAGUGAACCAUCCAGUUCAAAAGUGCUGGACUGGCAAAGAGCCAGAAGUAAAGCACGUUGUAGGAAGUUGUGCUCUGGUGACAGACAAGGAAACCUGAAACUUAAGCCAUUUCAAGUGAGGUGACAGACCUUCCAAGAGAAUAACAGCAUCACAAAACAGCCACUGAUUUAAUGAUUUAUCAGAAAUUCUCAAUUGGGAGAAGAAAUGUUAAUGGAGGAUUUCCUGAGGACUAUGUACUCUCUUCUGGUGAUGUCAAUUUUAUUUUUAGAUUAAAGAAAAAUGAUCAGGAAUCUGUCUUUAGAUAGUCUUGUUUUGGCUCCUGCUGCAGUUACUUUUACUGAACUGCAGUUUAGGAUCAUAUGAACAGCAUAAGUCUAGAGACUGUAGGAGAUGCAGCCUCAGGAACCCCGCGACUGCUUUUGCUGUGGAGGUGCAACUGGGAGCACCGCUCACUCAUCACACUGUGUUCUCUUGACGAAAGCCUGCAGAAAUUCAUUACCACAAAUGACUCUGCUUCUCUUGAGCAACUAGUUUGUUUCAUAAGCUUGUGAGCAUUAUGUAAUUGAAUGUGCUUCCUUCUGUCCUUGUGUUGGUACUUUAAAAAUUCAGAGGCUUAUUUAUGGCAAAUGCCCAGACUCUACAGUGUACACUUGUGAAUUACUCUUACCCUGACUUCUCAUUUUGUCUACUUUUAGUUUCCCUUUGGCUGGUUACUCCACCUCCUUUAUAUCUUAUUAUACUUUGUAUAUUUUGUUAAGCCAUCUUCCAUUUCUGAAUAGAAGGAAUAAAGGAAAACAUAAGACAAUCAUUCAUUUUAUAAGUCAUAAAGAUUAGUUUUAAGAUAACGAUGAGCUCCAAAUAAUCUAAUUGGAAGAUUAUGUGAUUUCUUUACCACUACCACAAUUACAUAUGUUUUUCACUACUUUACAAUGAGUAUAGAUGUUAAUUUGUAUGAGUAGGAGAUUAACUGGAAGGAAACAAAACAACGAGUAAAGGCUGAAGCCAGGUUAGGCAGUAUGUGAAAGGAGGAAAAAAAAUGUGAGCAAGAAGACAUGCUGAGUCAAAGAGAGAACUGUUUGUUAAGGCUGCAAGAAGUAGAAUGGGUUGGAAGUUGAAUACUGAGAAAUACUAAUUCAAAGAGAUUUCUGUAUGGGAAAGAGGAAGAAAGUGGCUGCUUGUUUGAGGGGUUUUUGGUGAUAGCUUUCCACUAAGGAAGGGUCUGGGAGAUUCACAGUAAUAACAGUAAGGGGGUAUCAGAGAGCACUUGAGGGUGCAGUGAGGCAGAAUCCUGGAUAAUCCUGGAUAACAGGUAUAAAGCCUGUUGCUGCUUAGUGCUCAGGGAGGCUGAGAAGAAGUUCUCUGGGAUGGACUGAAGACAGUGGCUAGGUUGGUUUGGGAUCAGGGGAGAUAGGAUGCUGGGGCAGAAACAGAAUGCAGCCAGGAGGAGAAGCCACACUUCUCCAGGAGUCAGGUGAGAGAAAGAUCUCAACUGAAGACAUCUGAGAUCUGGCAGUGGCCCUACAAGAACCCAGAGUAGGAAAUCAUUGGGUAACCUAGGGCCUGGCACACAGUAUGUGUUCACAAAUUUGGGGGCUGCAUUGGGUCUUCGUCGCUGCUUGCGGGCUUUCUGCAACUCUUCGUUGCGGUGUGUGGGCUUCUCAUUGCGGUGGCUUCUCUUGUUGUGGAGCACGGGCUCUAGGUGCGUGGGCUUCAGUAGUUGUGGCACGCAGGCUCAGUACCUGUGGCUUGCGGGCUCUAGAAUGCAGGCCCAGUAGUUGUGGCGCACAGGCUUAGUUGCUCCGUGGCAUGUGGGAUCUUCCCGGACCAGGGUCCAAACCCGUGUCUCCUGCAUUGGCAGGCAGAUUCUUAACCACUGCGCCACCAGGGAAGCCCCAGAAGUUUUUCUGUUACAUAAAUAAAGCUGUACCAAAAUGAACUCUGUAUCUAUGUUACUGUGAUUGCCCACUUGCCUGUGGUUAAUAUCCUGACAUGGCUCUCAAAGCAAGACAGCCAUUUGUUGUGCAUAUAUGACAAGAUCUGGAUGAGUCAGCCUUUGGAAGUGACUUCCUACAGAGGAGAGGAAAGAGAUGAAUGAGGCUGUGGUCUCAGCUGCUUGUGGGUCAUUUCACAUGCAGCAUGUACCUCUGUUUGGAAAUCUCUUCUGAUAUCCUCUACCGUCUUACUUGAAUAAUUCUGUUACCGAGUCCAAGCUGCCAGUGAAUCAGAGACGAGGUGCUGAGGCAAGGAAUACGACUUUAUUCAGAAAGCCCGCAGACCUGGAAGAUGGCAGACUAAAGUCUCAAAAUAACCAUCUUAUCGGAGUUUGGAUGCCAGUUUCUUUUAUAGCACAGAGAAUGGGGAGGAGAUGAGGAAGUAAAGUAAAAAGGCCAUACGUUUUGCAAAUAUCACCUGGAAUGGCCAGUCUCGGGGAGGGGAUGUGUUCAUUUCUUCUUUCUUGUAGCCAUCCACAGUUGGAGAGGGUCCGGAUGUUUGACUGAACAAAGGCACUUUGGUUUAUCAUUCAGGCAGAGGGGCAAGGUUCCCCAAGGCAGGCCGUUAUGUAUAGACAGUGUCCUUUUAGUGAAUAAAAGCAGUGGAAAGGAAAGGUUAAGGUAAAAGAAACAGAUCCAACAUGUAGUCAAGAUUUGGCUCUUCCCUGUUACAAUUCUUCUUCAUCAUUUAAGUCUCAGCUUAAAAGUUACCCUUCAGAGAAGGUCAGCUCUCCUUGUAGAGCUGUGUUAAGACAAUUAUAAAUCCUACGCACUUAAAAGAUCUCAGUGGCUGCCAGCCCCCAACUAAAUAUGAAUUCAAACACACACAAAAAAGUGUGAAACAUUUACCAUUUUUUUUGAAAUAACAUACAGCAAAAUGUACACAUAUCCUGAAUAACUUCUUUUUAGAUUUUCUUCUGAUUCAAAUUAUCCCCCUCUGUCUCUCUCUCAUACAUGCUGCCCUAUUCUCUCUCUCUCUUUUUUUUUUUCUUGAGCCUCUGCUGGUGUCCCAAACAAGUGCUGAGUCAGCCGUCCAGAUGGAGCAAUGCUUCUUGCCAGUCAUCAUAUACAACAUACUCAGUGACCUUGCAUGAAGAAACAUCCUGUCUGCAGAAAAGGAGACUGCACCUCAUCUACACAAGGCAGGGCUGAUAAGCAUGAUGAGGUGGUGAAUAACAGAGGCUCAGAAAUUGGACUCUACGGUUUUGAAUCCUGCCUUCACAACUUCUGUGUGAUGUUGAACAAAUUACUUAACCUCUCAGACUCUCCAUAAAAUGAGGAUAAUAAUAUCUACUUCACAGGGUUGUUGCAGGGAUAGAAUGAAAAAAAUACAUGUAAAUCACUUAGAACUACGCCUGACACAUAUUUAGUACUUAGUAAAUGCUAGCUACUAUUUAUAUUUUAACAAUAGAAUGAGGCACCACUGUAAACUAUCAUGGUAUGUAAUCCAUCCCACCAAUUAUUUAUGGAUAACUGUUACUUAUUCUUUUGUUAAAAAGUAUUGCAUAUGAUGUCUAUGACAUAUUUGCUUCUUAUAAUAAUGAAACUUCAGAAAAUUCACUGUGUGUUAUCAAAUGUGAUUGUCUCGAACAAUUACUGAGUAUGAUCUCAAUCAUCAGAGUGGAAAAACGUUACCGUGGAAUCACAUGGGACUCUGAGACUCUCUGAUACACAUGCACCCCUUACAACACCUACACAGUGACAUACAUGCAAAAGGUACUGCUUGCCUCAGUGUUUGCAAGAACAAACAAGAAAUGUGUGUCUCUGAAAUAAAAUGUUAACUUUUUAUGCCAGUAUAGGCAUUUAUUGUUUGUGGGAACAUCAUUUAACAGAUAGAUAUUAACAGUUUUACAAUUGGUUACUUAGGAUACUGUAUUUUAACUCAGCAUCAGUCAGUUUUUCUGAAAUGUGAUAUAUUUUCUUCCUCCUUUAAUAUUUGUACUAAUAACAAUGGUACCUAACAUUCAUUGACCAAUUACUACAUGCCUGUGCUUUCCUCGUAUUAACUUGGAACAGCCUGAUGAGCUGGAUACUCAUUAUUUCCAUUUUAUAGGUAAGGCACAGAAGUUUGAAUAGCUUGACUAAGUGAAUAGCUAGUGCGUGGUGGAGCCUAGAUUUGGACCAGUAAUCUCUAGCAUCAACUCAGUUUAACCAUUGUACCAUACUAUACACUAAGUUAUAUAUUAGUGUGUUAAAUGUAUAAUGUUCUACAAAAUGCCUGACAGGGGUUUGCAUUUGCCAUUGGUUGAUUUUAAAUCAAGUGAAAAUUAGAAGUGUGACUCUGAGACUAUGUUAAAGUGAACUUUAUAACAUUUAAAAAAUAAAUGUAUUUAUUUUAUUUUUAUUUUUGGCUGCGUUGGGUCUUCAGUGCUGCACGCGGGCUUUCUCUAGUUGUGGCGAGUGAGGGCUACUCUUCGUUGCAGUGAGCUUCUCACUGCGGUGGCUUCUCUUGUUGCGGAGCACGGGCUCUAGGCGCAUGGGCUUCAGUAGUUGUGGCUCACGGGCUCUAGAGCACGGGCUCAGUAGUUGUGGUGCAUGGGCUUAAUUGCUCCGCGGCAUGUGGGGUCUUCCCGGACCAGGGCUUGAACCCAUGUUUCCUGCAUUGGCAGGCGGAUUCUUAACAACUGCGCCACAAAGGAAGCCCGUAUAACAUUUUUGUAAAAUAUUUUAUAUAGAAGUAUACCUUAUCCAGUUUACAUAGAUUUUGUUUUUUUACGCUCUAAUUUGGUUCUUUAAAGUGAAAUUUUUAAAAGCCCUUUCUUUUUUUUUUUUUUUUUUUUGCGGUACGCGGGCCUCUCACUGUUGUGGCCUCUCCCGUUGCGGAGCACAGGCUCCGGACGCGCAGGCUCAGCGGCCAUGGUUCACGGGCCCAGCCGCUCCGUGGCAUGUGGGAUCCUCCCGGACCGGGGCACGAACCCGUGUCCCCUGCAUCGGCAGGCGGACUCCCAACCACUGCGCCACCAGGGAAGCCCAAAAGCCCUUUUUUAAAGAAGAAAAAAACAGGUAUAAUGAAGCUCACUUUGUCA